GAUGAACGCUGGCGGCGUGCCUAAUACAUGCAAGUCGAGCGAACAGAUGAGAAGCUUGCUUCUCUGAUGUUAGCGGCGGACGGGUGAGUAACACGUGGGUCACCUAUCUAUAAGACUGGGAUAACUCCGGGAAACUGCGGCUAAUACCGGAUAAUAUUUUGAAUCGCAUGGUUCAAUAGUGAAAGACGGUUUCGGCUGUCACUUAUAGAUGGACUCGCGCCGUAUUAGCUAGUUGGUAAGGUAAUGGCUUACCAAGGCGACGAUACGUAGCCGACCUGAGAGGGUGAUCGGCCACACUGGAACUGAGACACGGUCCAGACUCCUACGGGAGGCAGCAGUAGGGAAUCUUCCGCAAUGGGCGAAAGCCUGACGGAGCAACGCCGCGUGAGUGAUGAAGGUCUUCGGAUCGUAAAACUCUGUUGUUAGGGAAGAACAAAUUUGUUAGUAACUGAACAAGUCUUGACGGUACCUAACCAGAAAGCCACGGCUAACUACGUGCCAGCCGCCGCCGUAA
rnacentral:rRNA from 1 species